AUCCCAGUCAUACUGGUGUUUUGUGGGCUCUUGAGGUUUGGGUUCUAUUAAUAGAGUCCCAUUGAACCCAAUCUUUUGUUUCCACUCAACAGCUGCUUGAAAGAAUCUUGCCAUGUGAUUGAGCUCUCGUUCCAUAUCAGUGUUCAAAAGAGAUUGAUACCCUUCUCGCCCACCCCAGAAAACAAAAUUCUCUCCUCCAAGAUAAUGUGUGACCUCCAUGGCCUUCUUGACUUGCGCUGCAGCAUAAGCAUAUACUGCCACCUCAGAGCUUGUAGCAGCACCAUGCAUGUAACGUGGAUGCAUGAACAAUUGAGCAGUGCCCCACAGUGGUAGGAUUUUAGUUUGCUCCUGAAGUUCCUUAGCAAGGGCAACAAUUUCAUCCAAGUUUGCAUUAGAUUCCGCAAUUGUUUUACCGUCCGAAGCAAUAUCUCUAUCAUGAAAGCACCACCGUUCAACUCCUAACUUGCUUACAAAUUCAAAAUGGGCUCUCAUUCUCCUUUUCGCCAUUGCAAUUGAAUUGGUACCAUCCUCCCAGGGCCACAACUUCGUCGGGGCACCAAAAGGGUCCGCACCAGUCCCACGAAAUGUAUGCCAAAAUGCAACACUGAACCUCAUCCAAUCUUUCAUUUUCUUUCCAAGAAUCUCCUCAUCGGGAUUGUACCACUUAUAUGAUAGCGGGUUUUUGCUAGCCGGUCCCUCAUACUUAAUUUUUGUAAUGCCGGGAAAGAACUCCCCUUGCCAUUCAUCCGAAGACCAUUUGCCGCAUUCCGCCUCGACGCCGGCGGGGCAAGUUUGUGACUCUGAAGCACUCACAACCAACAGGGAUAGACCCAAACAAAGAAAAAAGAAAGGAACCCUCUGGCUCUUCAUUCACAAUGAUCCCUGGAUCGGAGAGAUCGGAGGCGGCCAGCAGUGAUGAG
rnacentral:misc_RNA from 1 species